rnacentral:hammerhead_ribozyme from 1 species
AUCCAGAUGACGAGUUCCAAAUAAUACGAAACGCGGGUCGUGGAU